rnacentral:rRNA from 1 species
GCACUGUUUCGGCUAGGGGGUCAUCCCGACUUACCAACCCGAUGCAAACUACGAAUACCGAAGAAUGUUAUCACGGGAGACACACGGCGGGUGCUAACGUCCGUCGUGAAGAGGGAAACAACCCAGACCGCCAGCUAAGGUCCCAAAGUCAUGGUUAAGUGGGAAACGAUGUGGGAAGGCACAGACAGCCAGGAUGUUGGCUUAGAAGCAGCCAUCAUUUAAAGAAAGCGUAAUAGCUCACUGGUCGAGUCGGCCUGCGCGGAAGAUGUAACGGGGCUAAACCAUGCACCGAAGCUGCGGCAGCGACACUAUGUGUUGUUGGGUAGGGGAGCG